rnacentral:pre_miRNA from 1 species
AAAGUACUCCCUCCGUCCCAAAAUUCUUGUGUUAGAUUUGUCUAGAUACGGAUGUAUCAAGUCACAUUUUAGUAUUAGAUACAUCUGUAUCUAGACAAAUAUAAGACAAGAAAUUUGGGACAGAGGGAGUAGUUG